rnacentral:rRNA from 1 species
GACGAACGCUGGCGGCGUGCUUAACACAUGCAAGUCGAACGGAAAGGCCCUGCUUGCAGGGUACUCGAGUGGCGAACGGGUGAGUAACACGUGGGUGAUCUGCCCUGCACUUCGGGAUAAGCCUGGGAAACUGGGUCUAAUACCGGAUAGGAGCCAUUUUUAGUGUGAUGGUUGGAAAGUUUUUUCGGUGUAGGAUGAGCUCGCGGCCUAUCAGCUUGUUGGUGGGGUAAUGGCCUACCAAGGCGGCGACGGGUAGCCGGCCUGAGAGGGUGGACGGCCACACUGGGACUGGGAUACGGCCCAGACUCCUACGGGAGGCAGCAGUGGGGAAUAUUGCACAAUGGGCGCAAGCCUGAUGCAGCGACGCCGCGUGGGGGAUGACGGACUUCGGGUUGUAAACUCCGUUCGCUAGGGACGAAGCUUUUUGUGACGGUACCUAGAUAAGAAGCACCGGCUAACUACGUG